rnacentral:rRNA from 1 species
UACGGAGGGUGCAAGCGUUACUCGGAAUCACUGGGCGUAAAGAGCGCGUAGGCGGGACAGCAAGUCAGAUGUGAAAACUACAGGCUUAACCUGUAGCCUGCAUUUGAAACUGUUCUUCUUGAGUGAUGGAGAGGCAGGCGGAAUUCCUAGUGUAGCGGUGAAAUGCGUAGAUAUUAGGAGGAACACCAGUGGCGAAGGCGGCCUGCUGGACAUUAACUGACGCUGAGGCGCGAAAGCGUGGGGAGCAAACAGG